GAGAAUAGUCUACAAUGGUCGAAAGACUGAUAGUGCGACGCCGCGUGAACGAAGAAUCCCUUCGGGGUGUAAAGUUCUUUUUUAAUCGAGCAAUGCCUUUUAUGUGAUAAGCAUGAGAGGAGAGAUAUUAGGUUAAGAAUAAGCAACGGCUAACUCCGUGCCAGCAGCCGCGGUAACACGGGGGUUGCAAGCGUUGUCCGGAAUUACUAGGCGUAAAGGGCAGGUAGGCGGAUAUAUAAGUUUUGUGUUAAAGGCAUCGGCUUAACCGGUGUAAGGCAUAGGAUACUGUAUAUCUGGAAUGCGGUUGAGGAAGACAGAAUUCCUGGUGUAGCGGUGGAAUGCGCAGAGAUCAGGAGGAAUACCAAAGGCGAAGGCAGUCUUCCAUACCGUAAUUGACGCUGAACUGCGAAGGUGUGGGGAUCAAACA
rnacentral:rRNA from 1 species